CUACGGGCGGCAGCAGUCGAGAAUCUUCCGCAAUGGACGAAAGUCUGACGGAGCGACGCCGCGUGCGGGAUGAAGGCCCUCGGGUUGUAAACCGCUGUCAGUGGGGAGGAAAUGCAUCAGGGUUCUCCCUGGUGUUUGACCGAUCCGCAGAGGAAGCGCAGGCUAAGUUCGUGCCAGCAGCCGCGGUAACACGAACUGCGCGAACGGUAUUCGGAAUCACUGGGCUUAAAGAGUUCGUAGGCGGCCUUUCAAGUCGGGUGUGAAAUCCCUCGGCUCAACCGAGGAAUUGCGCCUGAUACUGUUGGGCUUGAGGGGGAUAGGGGUGAGCGGAACUGAUAGUGGAGCGGUGAAAUGCGUUGAUAUCAUCAGGAACACCGGUGGCGAAGGCGGCUCACUGGAUCUCUUCUGACGCUGAGGAACGAAAGCUGGGGGAGCGAACGGGAUUAGAUACCCUCGUAGUC
rnacentral:rRNA from 1 species